GCCUUCAAGGACUAGCUCAGUCAAUAGAGCAUGAGACUCUUAAUCUCAGGGCUCUGGGUUCAAGCAAAAGAAUCCUGCUUUGCAGGCA